UACGUAGGUCCCGAGCGUUGUCCGGAUUUAUUGGGCGUAAAGCGAGCGCAGGUGGUUUAUUAAGUCUGGUGUAAAAGGCAGUGGCUCAACCAUUGUAUGCAUUGGAAACUGGUAGACUUGAGUGCAGGAGAGGAGAGUGGAAUUCCAUGUGUAGCGGUGAAAUGCGUAGAUAUAUGGAGGAACACCGGUGGCGAAAGCGGCUCUCUGGCCUGUAUCUGACACUGAGGCUCGAAAGCGUGGGGAGCAAACAGG
rnacentral:rRNA from 1 species